GACGAACGCUGGCGGCGUGCUUAACACAUGCAAGUCGAACGAUGAAGAAGAGAAACGCGAACUUCGGUUCAAAUUUCACUUCGGAUUAGUGGCAGACGGGUGAGUAACGCGUGAGCAACCUACCUCUUACAAAGGGAUAGCCUCGGGAAACCGUGAUUAAUACCAUAUGACACAUUCAUAAGGCAUCUUAAGAAUGUUAAAGCUACGGCGGUAAGAGAUGGGCUCGCGUCCCAUUAGCUAGUUGGUGAGGUAACGGCCCACCAAGGCGACGAUGGGUAACCGGCCUGAGAGGGUGAACGGUCACAUUGGAACUGAGACACGGUCCAAACUCCUACGGGAGGCAGCAGUGGGGAAUAUUGCACAAUGGAGGGAACUCUGAUGCAGCGACGCGGCGUGAGCGAUGAAGGAAUUCGUUUCGUAAAGCUCUGUUCUAUGGGAAGAAAAGGACUGUACCAUAGGAGAAAGCCCCGGCUAAAUACGUG
rnacentral:rRNA from 1 species